rnacentral:lncRNA from 1 species
AUGCGGCAUCCCAGCCCGGCCUCCACGCUCCGUGGCUGGUCUCAGCGACUGCGAGGGUGCUCAUCAAGGUCUAGACUUUUCCAGACUUGCUUCUGGGCAGCAGGCAACCCUCAGGCCAACGGGAAAGACCUCGGCCCGAGCCUGAGCCUGGUGCCACGCAGAAGGCGUUUCCUGUUGGUUCGACUGCACUUGGGCCGGGUGAGAGGACUUCCCGGGCAGAGAGAAAGGGGCAGCCUCGGCUUACUUCAGGAAAGCGCAGGUGUUUGGACCUUGAGCCAAAAUACAUCAAAGAAGAGAUCCCCUCCCACCCCCAGCUUACAGUCUCUCAGCUAUCAAGUGUGGACUCGACAGGAAUGUUGCAAGGAAAAACUAAUUAAACGGCAGUACAAUGCUUUGAAAAUA